AUAAAAGGCAAUAAUAUUUCUCGUAUCGCUGAACUAGCACGCUCAGGCGACGCUCUUGUAUAUGUCCCGUAUACCUAGGCUUUUGCCUAUUCUUAUGAUCAAUAAAAUUUUGUUUACCGAUCAAAAAA